UACCCAGCGUCGAGAAAGGGGAAGGAUCUGGCUCAGCUCCACGAGGUCCUUGGACUUGGGGUAAGCAGAACUACCUGGGGCGUCCCUUUGUCUGCAGGACCCACUGCCUUUAACUAGGCCGCUGCUUCAACGAGGCUCCUGCUCUCCCUCCAAACACAGCUGAGAGGGGACUGAUGGGGCCCCCUGGCCCCAAGCACUGCAGCCGAGCUCAGAGAGAGGAGUUGCCCUAAUCUCAUUAUUCGUCUUCUCGGACAGGCUGCCGCUUAUAUUAAGACACAAAGGGGGCUGAGACGUGACUUUCCAUUUGACGUCUUCCCAGGCUGAGUUGCCGGGAUGGGUCAUAGUGCACUCCUAUUUGGCCAUUGACCAAUUUAAUCUAUUCACUCUCGGUGAUCGUCCGUCGUGCUCCUUCACCUUCGUGGAGCAUUCUAGAAGGCUCUUCCCCCCCACCCCCCUCAUGAAGCCCACAGCCCCUUCACCUCCCACCCAGCCCCUGUACCAUUCCCGGACCUGCAUCUCCAGGGGUCCGUGGACGCCAGUCCCUGUGGACGUCCGCGGGGCCUGAGGCAAGUCCAGGUUCAACAGCUGCAAGUACUGUCAAUAACGCACCGCGGUCAUAAUUAUUUCUGAUGAGUAUUUUUCCACCUAAUAACGACUCGGAGGGGUGGCUGGCCUUGGUCGAGGGGAGGGACACCUUCCAGAUGACCUGCCAGCAAUUAAGGCGGCUUGUUAGUCGGAGGCCCGGGACGGCCGAGGACAGCUGGAGAGUUCUACUUUGCAGGCAGCUCUGGUUCACAUCAACCGGGAAAGCUCUCUGUAAACACAUGAAUAAUUGAUCGUCCCGCGCGCACAUAGCUACCGAGGAUCUGAGCCCGUAUGACUCAUUUGCGAGCCAUCCCUGUCGUCUGGAUGCCAUAACACUGGAGGAAUGAUGAUCGUUUCUUGGAGAUUCUUCUGUGGCCAGAGUUGCCAAGACCAAGGCUGUAAUGGUUUGUUAUGAUGACCUUUGUUAUUCCAUUAGGCUCAAUGGCUUUAAAAAAUGAUGUGCGCAUACUUUCGGAACGUUUUUACCCUUCACGUUGACCUGACAUCAUAGUUUAUGUUACAAAAUGUAUUAAUGACAGAGGAGUGUUUUCAUGUCCCAGGGACAAAUUUUAACAACCAUAAUCUGCCCUUAGUCAUCAUAAAUAUAAAUGUAUUGGUCAAACAGAUCUCGUUAAUGUGGCCAAGAUAAAUGCAAGCCUAUAUUUUAAGGCAGUUGAAGUCCUCGAGAAUAGAUUUGGAGCUUUUUGUGAGGCUAGGAGAGCUUGUAUAUGUGCUAUCAGAAGGCUGAGAAAAUGAACAUGUUUCCCCCUCUGGUUCUGCUUUGGACCCGAUAUAAACGUCUCGGGGACGUCAAGUAAGAUUCUUCACAUCGUUUCUGGACACCGUUAAUGCCUGGUGGGGUGAACCUUAGUUCUUAAAGCUGUAUGCUUCUCCUUAUGCUCUCGGGGCUUUUGAAAAGAAAGCAGAUGCAGAUUUCAAGUUUCUUUCUUUUUUUGCAUGCUUGAAAUCUUUAUGGAUUUAUUUUCUUUAAAAACAAUUUUUAGUAUAAUUGAUUCGCAAGGUCGUGUCAAUUUCUGCUGUACAGCAAAGGGACCCAGUUAUGCAUUUGUAUACAUUCUUUUUAUCACAUGACAGAUUUCAGUAUCCCCGUGCUUUCCAGUUUUCGGGGUAUCAAUCCCGCCUGCCCCAUGUUCUGUGUGGGACGAGUCCCUUCUCCACGCCGGGUGUCUGAUGUUUUGCAGCGUUCCAGUUGGCAUGUGUGCUGGCUGCUGACGAUCUGGGCACGGGCUGCAGGCCUGGUCCAAUACUCAGUCUUGCUCUUGGUUGCAGUGUGCUCAGCAGUGUUGGCCCUGAGGCGGGGUAGCCACAUUUCCAGCUUCUCUGGCAGAAAAGAAAUGCUUGUUGUAAGAAACCCUUUGGAAUCAUGUUUUUAUCUUGAACCAUGAAAAUGUGUUUGAGGCAGGCAUGCUACUCUCUGAGAGAGCAGACUGUUUACAGGGGUGAGUUGACCCCACCCCCUCACCAGGGGACACGGUGCCAUCAUUAACCUCCGUGUGGAUUACAGUCAGCUGGCACUGAUGGAUGAGCACUUCACGUGAAGCCAUUUAUCCUUCUGCCUUAGAGGAAUCUUCUAAGAGGAACCCUUUCUUCUCAAUCUGCUAUGGCUCUUGGUAGCACCACAUAUGGGGCUCUAGACAUGUGAUUUUUGCCCGAAACGCCUCUGGGACUGGGGAUGAAUUAUUUUCUAAAUUUGUUGGUGUGAGGACAGUGCCGUGAUCGUCUCCUGUGUGGCUUAAAGUUUUUGAUCUGUUUGGAAAGUGAGACACAUCACCCAUGUUCUUCGCAGCACGAGUCCCAAGAGCCAAAAGGUGAAAACUGCAGUUGUCCACGGACAGACAAGUGGAUAAACAAAUGCCCUGUAUCCAGAGUUCCCGCUGUGGCUCAGCACUGAUGAACCUGACGAGUAUCCAUGAGGAUGCGGGAUCGGUCCCUGGCCCUGUUGAGUGGAUUAAGGAUCUGGCAUUGUCAUGAGCUGUGGUGUAGGUUGCAGACACGGCUUGGAUGUGGUGUGGCCAUGGCUGUGGCUGUGGCUGGCAACUGCAGCUCUGAUUCGAACCCUAGCUGGGGAACUUCCAUAGGUGUGGGUGUGGCCCUAAACAAACCAACAAACAAAUAAUAAAUGUUCUAUAUUGAUACAACGGAAUGUCACUCAGCCUUAAGAAGGAAAAAAAUUCUAACACACGCUACAACAUGGACGAACCUUAAAGAUAUUAUGGUAAAUGAAAUCAGCCAGUCACAAAAGGACAAAUACUCUAUGAUUCCAUCCAUACGAGGUACUAGUGUAGUCAGAUUCAUAGAAACAGAAAGAAGAAUUGGGGUUGCCUGGGGCUGGGGGAGAGGGGAUGUUUUUUUUCUUUUGUUUUUUUAGGGCCACACCCACGGGAUAUGGAGAUCCCCAGGCUAGGUGUCUAAUCGGAGCUGUAGCUGUCGGCCUACACCAUAGCCACAGCAAUGCCAGAUCUGAGCCGGGUCUGCGACCUACACCACUGCUCAUGGCAAUGCCGGAUCCUUAACCCACUGAGUGAGGCCGGGGAUUGAACCCAAAACCCCAUGGUUCCUAGUCGGAUUUGUUAACCACUGAACCACGACGGGAACUCCAGGUUAGUUGGGUUUUUUAAGACCGUACCCACAGCCUAUGGAAAUUCCCAGGCCAGGGGGCCAGUUGGAGCCACAGAUGCUGGCCGACACCACAACCACAGCAACGCCAGAUCCGAGUUGCGUCUGCAACCUGCACCACAGCUCACGGCAAUGCUGGAUCCUUAACCCACUGAGCCAGGCCAGGGAUUGAACCCGCAUCCUCAUGAAUACUAGUUGGGUUUGUUACUGCUGAGCCGCAAUAGGAGCUCCCUCACACCGCUUUCAUGGUAAGUAAAGGAAUACUGGAGUGACAAAUACUGGCUUUCUUUGUCAAGUGGAACUCACCAAAAUCCAUUGGUUAAGCAUGGAGGUGCCCACUUUGGGUGACCAGUUCACUCUGAUCCAAACACACAUCCCCAGCCCUCAGAGGACCACAGCACCCAUUUCUGGACGCAUCAGAGGACCUCCUGUGCCCUGAAAGGAAGUGGAGCUCGGAAGGCGCAACCUGGAUGGACCUCUGAGCAGCUGAGCUAAUUCUCACAUGGUAACGACUCCUGAAUUAAUUAGACAGGAAGGGGCAAUGCUUGGAGCUGAACAAUGGUCUCCAAAUUGUGUAAUACAUGUCUGUGUUACAGGAUUGGGGGAAAUAAUGAGAAAGGAUGUUUUUAAAAGAACUUUUGCCUCUUUUUAAUGUUAGUUCCCACUCCUGGACAUGUAUCCAGACAAAACUUUCUGUGAAAAAGUUACAUGCACCUGUGUGUGCACUGCAGCACUAUUCACGAUAGCCAAGACAUGGAAAUAACCUAAAUGUCCAUGACAGAUGAAUGGAUGAAGAAGAUGUGGUAUAUACAUAAUGGAAUAUUACUCAGCCAUAAAAAAGAUAAAAUAAUGCCAUUUGCAGCAACAUGGAUGGAACUAGAGACUCUCAUACUAAGUGAAGUAAGUCAGAAAGAGGAAAAAACAAAUACCCUAUGAUAUCACUUAUUUGUGAAAUCUAAUAUAUGGUACAAAUGAACCUUUCUACAGAAAAGAAACAAACUCAUGGACUUGAAGAACAGACUUGUGGUUGCCAAGGGGGAGUGGGAAGGAGUGGGAUGGAUGGGGAGUUUGGGGUUAGUAGAUGCAUAUGACAGCAUCUGGAGUGGAUAAGCAAUGAGAUCCUGCUGUGCAGCACAGGGAACUAUACCGAGUCACUUGUGAUGGAGCAUGAUGGAGGAUACUGUGAGAAAAAGAAUGUAUGGGUUUGCUGGGUUACUUGAUUGUACAGCAAAAAUUGACAGAACGUUGCAAAUCAACUAUUAAAAAAACCU
rnacentral:lncRNA from 1 species